rnacentral:rRNA from 1 species
GACGAACCGUGCGAACGUUGUUCGGAUUCACUGGGCUUAAAGGGCGCGUAGGCGGACUCGCAAGUCUGUGGUGAAAGCCCCCAGCUCAACUGGGGAAGUGCCGUGGAUACUGCAAGUCUGGAGGAGGGUAGGGGCAUCUGGAACGCUGGGUGGAGCGGUGAAAUGCGUUGAUAUCCAGCGGAACUCCGGUGGCGAAGGCGAGGUGCUGGACCCUUUCUGACGCUGAGGUGCGAAAGCCAGGGGAGCAAACGGG